rnacentral:rRNA from 1 species
GACGAACGCUGGCGGCGGGCUUAACACAUGCAAGUCGAACGGUAAGGCCCUUCGGGGUACACGAGUGGCGAACGGGUGAGUAACACGUGGGUGAUCUGCCCUGCACUUCGGGAUAAGCCUGGGAAACUGGGUCUAAUACCGGAUAGGACCACUGCCUGCAUGGGUGGUGGUGGAAAGCUUUUGCGGUGUGGGAUGGGCCCGCGGCCUAUCAGCUUGUUGGUGGGGUGAUGGCCUACCAAGGCGACGACGGGUAGCCGGCCUGAGAGGGUGACUGGCCACACUGGGACUGAGAUACUGCCCAGACUCCUACGGGAGGCAGCAGUGGGGAAUAUUGCACAAUGGGCGCAAGCCUGAUGCAGCGACGCCGCGUGAGGGAUGACGGCCUUCGGGUUGUAAACCUCUUUCAGCACCGACGAAGCGCAAGUGACGGUAGGUGCAGAAGAAGGACCGGCCAACUACGUGCCAGCCGCCGCCGUAA